rnacentral:misc_RNA from 1 species
GCAUGAUGAAAAAACUAUUGGAUGUCAUUAUUUGUAAAAGAAUAGGAUGCUCGUUAAGCCAUUAUUAGUAAAGAAGGUAGGAUUUGAAUUUGGUACAACAGUGUUCAGUUUUCAUAUUACAUUCUCAAGGAGGCCAUAAAUAGAGCCCCCCUCCCAAUUUCAGGCAUAGGCCUUAGCAACAACAGCAUUUACCUAAGGAUGAAAAACACUUAGGCUACUGCUCUUCAACUAGUCAGUGAUCAAUAAAAAACUUGAGAAGCAUAAUAUUCGCUCUCAUUAAAUACAGGUCUUAAAUCUUCCUUGCACAUGAAAUCCAAAGGCAAAGAAACAAGAUGUCCACGGACUGCCUGCAAUCUCUCCAUGGGAUCAGUUUUUUUUAUGUCUCCAUUUUGGUAAGAUUCAAGCUUUUCUGGGGCUAUUCCUAAAUCAAUGGUAGUGUGGCCAAGUCUGUCCUUCCAAAAGGCCAUGCUUUGUCUAACUGCAGCUCUGGAAUGUAUAAGAUCACUGGGAAUGCAAGAAAAGACAUCCUGGUAGAUGGUGGUAUUUGUCUUUGCAGUUGCGACCCACAGGUCUUUGUAUGUUGAAUCAACUACUGGGUCUAUUAUUUGAUUGAUCUCUUUGGCUUUAAUACCAAGGUGUUCAGACCACAACGAAAGGCGAAGACUCAAAGAAAAUUUUCCAGCUUUCCAAGGCUUCCCUCCCAUUGCCGAGUCAACCAACUCUUUGUCUUCAAUAAGUACACCAAUCUCUGAAUCUCGUGAACCAAGCAAACUCCUAUCGUUGAUAUUAGCAGAUCCAAUCAAAGUUGCACAGUCAUCAAUCAUCAUGAUUUUACUAUGCACAUACACCUGACUGGUGGCCACUGGACCACCAUCAAAAAGUCGGCCAUAAGCUCUAAGACCAUAAAAGGAAAUGUAAUCGUGUGUUUUUGGACCAAGAACAUCAUAAAGAUUAUGCAAUAUUGAAUUUUGUCCUCUGCAAAUGGUUCGAUAUUGCCAAUGCAUUAUGGCUCUCAAAGAUGCAGCACCACUGUCAUCCAAACCCCCCUGGAAACCAGGAAUCAGAGGUAUGACCACAAUAACCCUGAAACACUUCUUCUCAUUGUAUGCUCGCAUAAUACGACGGUAUAAUGAUUCUAACACGCGAUUCUGUAUAGUUUCAUCUCCUGAAAGACCUGAUAUAAAAAAUUGAUUCUGGGAACAGAUUGCCCAAGAAAUUAUGCAAAAGUCAGGAAAAAGGAACAACAAAUCAGAGAAUAUGGCAAGCCACUUGUAACCUUAAACCCUGAAACAUUCUAAUGAGGAAAACUUAAAACCAAAGGAAAUGUGUGAGUGUGUCUGUUGUGUAAGAUUACUAGAAAUUCUCACUAGCACUAUUUAUGGUUCCAAAAUAUUUCCCCCGAGUGUCAGCCAAAUUUCUACAGGAUAUGCUAUUUUUAAGUUACUUGUAACAGUGAGUGGAACUCGCUGAAAGUUUCAAUUACACGCAUAAAAGAUUGUACCUCAAUAUAUAUAUAAAAGAUUGUACCUCAAUGUAUAUAAAGUGCUCCGCUUUCUCAAUGAGAGAGCAAUAAGCACAGUGAAUACUCUCCUCUAUUUGGCUUGUUCCAGCUGACCACAGGCUCACACUCCUUAUAACCUGACAAUGGCAAGAAGUACGCGGACCAACUUGCCCAGUUUCAUCUCCAAAACCAAUCUGAUCUUCCCGCUCUUGUGUUUCCCACCACUCUAAAUCUGAAGUUUUAGCGCUCGUCUGUGGCAGUGGAUCUGAAGACAUUUUCACAUUAAGAUCUAAGACACCAUGGUCAUCCACAAAGCCUUUCAUUUGCAUAUCUGGAACAACAGGUUCAACUUUGGAUUUUCGAAAAGCAAGAGAGAGACUUCUUCCAGGAGUGGAGUCUAACCCAUUCAAUUUUGGGCCUCCACCUGAAACAUCUGGCCCUUCAGCUUCUUGAGGUAAAAGUAGAGGGAUAUCUUGUAAAGAUGAUCUAGAGGAAAAAGAAUCCUGCCUUUUAAUGCCUUUAUAAUUAUCUUCAGGAUUCUUACUUUCAACCUCCAACUCUUUGCUGCUUCCCCUAUAGUGUGGAAUAACCAUGUGCUGCUGAGGAAUAAGUAGUGGAAUUGCUUCCUCAUACGGAGCUUUAUUUCUCUUUGCAUAGUUCCAACGCUGAACAAAAUGCCUAGCUACAUCACGACAUGGUGGUCCCCAUAGGGCACAAUGGACAUCAUGCCAAGGCAUUCGAGGAUAUUUUCCACGAUCCAGUUCAUCUUUCAUUGUAUCUUCCCACGAAUUAGGUUCAGAUUCCCUUGGAUUAUAAUAAUCCUUUCCAGGCCAGACAAGAGAAGGGCAGUCACCCACUCUGUGUUCACUUGUGUCAUAACGGCCAAAGCACAAAUCCAGUCCUCCAAUAAAGCAAAUCUGAUAAUCAACUAUGACCAGUUUUUCAUGAUGGGACCAAAGGUAAACCCCACUAGAAAAGUGGUCAGGAUAACGCAAAACCCUCACAUUCUCAUGAAUGCUAAGAAGCUUUCUCUUGCUAUACACACUGUUGAUUUUCAGAGCAAGAGCCACCUCUUUAUAUAGAAGAAUGUAUAUCUGAACUCCUUGCUUAGCCUUGGUUUCCAGCAAAGAGUCAAGCCUAGAGGAUGCAUGGGCAUGAAAAGGACGUCGUAAAUAAAGUUCUGGGCACAGCCACCAGCCACAAAUAAAUAUCUCUGAUUUAGCAUCCUCGAUUGACGAAGCAAUAGCACUAAAAGCUGCCCUACCAUCUAUAAACCAUUGAGCCUGACUACCAUCUUCAGUCAAACCCCUAGGAGGAGCAAAGGAGCCAAAGCGAUGAGGAUGACACCAACCUUCAGGAGGCCUAAGUCCAGCAUCAUUAAUUGCAGCAACCCAAUCUUUAACUCUAGCACCAGUCUUGGUUCGUAACUUUAUGCUCCGAUUACCACAUGUGACCUUUGAAGUUUUGAAUCAUCUGUUAGCGGGAGCAAUAAUCUUAAAUGCAUGACGUAAAGGAUUCCGUUCCUUUGUUUCUACUGCUAAUGAUAUUCGACCAUCCCCACUACCAUCUGAAGCUGGUAGUACAUCAAAAACAAUUAUAUCCAGAGGUUUGGUAUCAAAAGGAUCGGCCAGCAGGGCCAAGAAUCCAGGUUUCAAUACAGCCCACACCUUCUGCCAGUUGUCGUUACAGCAACUAAACCAAUGACAAGCACAACAUCUCCCAGAAUCAUCAUUACUUGGAAUUUUUGGCAAGUGCUUUGCCAUAACAUAGUCUUCUUUCAGCUUAGGACCAUAUUCUGGAGAAAAGGACAAUUUAGAUACCUCCAAGAAUUUGCAAACCUCUCGAGAGUUAACAAUAUCCAUAUUUCCUAAAAAGUGAUUCAAAUAUUCUUGCAUUGCAACCUUUGCCCUGUCUGACAUGGAAUGCUGCCUACCCAAGGCUGGACGAAUAACUGGCAAGGCAGCACUUGAAGGAACGUCUCUGUUUUUAGCACUUUCAUCGUUAUGCAAGGGAAUAGUCUCAUCAUCAGGAUCAUCAUCAUCAUGCAUCACUGGCGCAUGAUCUCCUAUUCCUAGAUUUUGAAGCCAUUCUUUAACCUGCUCCUGCUUCUCAUGAAUUUCUUCAAAAAAAGCCCGUCUCUUUAAUGCAAAGUGCAAAUAGAAUACUUGUGCUGCUUUCUUCAAUAACUGCCACUUGAACUGCUUGUAUUGAACCUCGAUGGUAUAAGAUAAAAGCACGGGGCUAAUAUCGGCUGCAUCAGGUCUAGACACAGAGACGAUGGUGGCCGUCGGUAAUUCGUCGAAAAUCCGAGUGGCCUCAGGUGUGACGCCCUGAGUGAAAGAGAAAAAGGACGACAUCAUCGUCUGUGGAUGCUGUUGCUGGUGAUGCUGCGGCGUCGACGGCUCUGAUUGCAUUUGGACGUAGCGGGGACCAUUAGUCCCGCCACCAAUAAACUGAUCCGACGAUGACAUUUGGUACAGAAUAUAUGAUUAUCGGAUUCAGUAGUCUCGCUAAAUCGAAUAGAAGGAAUGAGAUGAUAGGAGAGGAUCGUGGUUUUGGAUGGAUUUUGUUAAUUCGGAUCUAACUAGAGGGGAUUGAAGGCAAAAAAAAAACUAAACAAAGCGUCAAAUCUGGAAAGUUUGAGAAGGAGAGACGUUUGGCUGGUUCCGAGAGAGAUUACGGACAGUCCGAUUUUCAAGAAAACGGAUUUAUUGAGGAAUAUAUGAAAUAAUUUGCACAAUUUGCUGUUUCGUGAAAUGGAUUUCAUUUGCGACUUUAUAUUUAAAUAAUUUCGGCCGACUCUCAACCAACUACCAUUCAAUUUUAAUACCAUAAUCCUGUUAAAACCAGCUACAAAUGAAAUAGGACCGACCGCAGCAUAAUGCAAGAAUGGCAACCAGAUUACGACUAAGAAUCGUGUGCAAAACAUGCUUUAGCUCUUGUUAUAAAAGGUUUGAGACCCCAUUUGACACUUGUGGGCCAGAUUAGAAACUUUUUGCAAAAACAGUUCCAAAAUUUUUAUGUUUAAAAUAUGUUAAAUUUAAUUUUA